UCCCUGGCAGUCCACUGGUUAGGACUCCUUGCUCUCACUGCUGAGGGCCCAGGUUCAAUCCCUGGUCAGGGAA
rnacentral:tRNA from 1 species